rnacentral:rRNA from 1 species
GAUGAACGCUAGCGGCAGGCCUAACACAUGCAAGUCGAACGGUAACAGUCCCGCUUGCGGGAGCUGACGAGUGGCGCACGGGUGCGUAACACGUAUGCAACCUACCUUCAACAGGGGAAUAGCCCGAAGAAAUUCGGAUUAAUACCCCAUAAUAAUAGAAAUUCGCAUGUUUUUCUAUUUAAAACUUCGGUGGUUGAAGAUGGGCAUGCGUCCUAUUAGUUAGUUGGUGAGGUAACGGCUCACCAAGACUCCGAUAGGUAGGGGUUCUGAGAGGAAGAUCCCCCACACUGAUACUGAGACACGGACCAGACUCCUACGGGAGGCAGCAGUGAGGAAUAUUGGACAAUGGACGAAAGUCUGAUCCAGCCAUGCCGCGUGCAGGAAGACUGCCCUCUGGGUUGUAAACUGCUUUUAUAAGGGAAUAAACCCCCCGAUUCUUCGGGGGCUGAAUGUACCUUACGAAUAAGGACCGGCUAACUCCGUGCCAGCAGCCGCGGUAAUACGGAGGGUCCAAGCGUUAUCCGGAUUUAUUGGGUUUAAAGGGUCCGUAGGUGGGAUUAUAAGUCAGCGGUGAAAUCUUUCGGCUUAACCGGAAAAUUGCCGUUGAUACUGUAGUUCUUGAGUAUGCUCGAUGUAGGCGGAAUAUGUCAUGUAGCGGUGAAAUGCAUAGAUAUGACAUAGAACACCGAUAGCGAAGGCAGCUUACAAGCGCAUAACUGACACUGAGGGACGAAAGCGUGGGGAGCGAAACAGGAUUAGAUACCCUGGUAGUCCACGCCGUAAACGAAUGAUCACUAGACAUUGGCGACAUACUGUUCGGUGUCAAAGCGAAAAGCAUUAAGUGAUCCACCUUGGGGAGUACGCUCGCAAGAGUGAAACUCCAAGGAAUUGACGGGGGCCCGCACAAACGGUGGAGCAUGUGGGUUAUACGAUGAUCCGCGAGGAACCUUACCUUGG